UGCUGCUCAAGCUGAGGGGAGCUGCUGCAGGAGCAGGCACUUGAGGUGGCAGAGGGCAGCCCGGCCUACCUCAACACAGGACCUCCCCACACGCCCAGGGACUCUCAAGGAACUGCCAGGGCAAAUGCCUCUAACCAGUUCCAGUGUGGAUCUGAAGAACCAGAAUGAAUUCCUGUGCUUGACAGUUUACAUCCAUCGCAGAAAAUGACUUGGAGCGGCUACGGGUGCAAUGAUGGGUGCUACUCACCCUGUGGCUAUGGGGGCCAAUGGGCUUGUGAGAGCCCUUGUGGCUACAGGGGCCUGUGUGGCUAUGGAGGCCGUAGUGGUCAUGGUGGCUCAUGUGGUUAUAGGGGUUCUUAUGGUUACAGGGGAUCAUACGAUUCCGGACAUUGCUACCCAUUUGCUUUCCAGCGGGGCCAUAGGUACAGCUAUGGAAACUGUGGGCCAUGUUAAACCCAGAAGGAACAUGCACAGAACAAUGAAAAGCAAGAUACGGAUUCACAACUGAGCUUAUGGGCAAGGCUUUUGGAAGUGCUGAGCUCCCACGACUUAAAUUUAGUCAAUGAGAGCUGUGACUGCACAGCACCUCUAAAGUUGCCCACUAGAUGUAUUUCCUAUGUUAUACUUUCUGACUUUCUUCUUAUGCCUUCCCAGCUAUCUGCUGAUUAACACCAAAGGCCUGAUUCCUGAUUACUAUCUUGUUACACCCAGCCCUCUGGCAGUGUAGAGGAAGCAGGGCCUUAAGGUGAAUAUAAAUUACAUUUAUACUCUUUAAGGAUCCUUUCACUGCCAGAGUCCUGCAAAGAGGUCUUAGUGUCAAUGCAGAUUAGGUACUCUGUGCUCUAGCCUUUCCAUGAAUAUGUACCAUUUGUUUCUUGCUUUUAACUUUGCUACAGCAGAUUAGUCUUGCUUAUACCAUGCUUUUGUCUCUGUCACUGACUGGGGUGAAACAUGUGGCUUGAGAUGGUUGAAAACAGGCUUCAUUAUCUAACUUAAGAGCUGCAAGAAAGAAAGUCAUUCACACUGGAGUGGGUGAUGGGUUUGGAGCCCUUCUUGAA